CAGAACCCCGAGCAUACGAGUGAGGGUCAGGUGCAGGCCCUCAGGGUGGGGUCUAGGGGCACUAAACCCAGGCUGCUUCCACUGCUGGCUGCUUCAAGGGCUGGUGUUGCUAGGGGUGUGGCCCUGUCUUUAAAAUGCCUGUUAAGACAUAGAUUACCUGGGCAGAGCCUUUGAGAUGAGUUUUUAAAUUUAGUGGAGUGCCUCAUCUGAGACCUUCAGGCAAGAGUGGAGCACAGAGGAAAGGGGUGUCUUUCUCAAGAGAGAAGCAAACUGCGGGUCAAAGUGCACCACCAGCCACCAACAGCUAGCUUCCGGAUCAAGUAGGAUGGAAAUGGUUUAUUCCUCCAAAGACUCUUAAAAGAGCAGCCCCUGCUGCAGAAUAGAAAGAGGCUCCAGAGGAGCAGUGAGCUCGAGGAACCCCCCUGAAGAUCCCCAGUUUCUGUAUGCAGCUGCAUCAGGCCCAGACAAAUUCUUCCAUCUGGAGCGUGUCCCCGCAGAUCUUCCCAGCCGCGGCUGUGGUCCGCGUUAUCUCAGGCUGUCAGGUCUCAGAAAUUAGAAACCAUCUCAUUUCAUCAGGGUCAUCCCACACCGUCUGCCACCAUAGAUGGAGAGGAUUUCAAGUGAUGUUUUCUGAAGAUGGUUCUGUUGUCCCGGGAGAGCCCUUGGCGGACAUGGUAGUGCCAGUCAGAGCCCUUGACGCUGUGCAGCCAGGUGGCUUAUUGUCCCAGUGACUUUCCAACCAGAUACUCUCAGUCAGAGUGAAGGGCUCCACUUAGAAACUCCCUUUCCCAUUAACUCGUCAGAGUUAUGCCAUUCCUCUUUAUUCUUUUUAAAAUAUUUAUACUCAAAGAAAUUGUAUGGGGAGUGAGCACACACCAAUCAUAUAACUGUCAAAUGAAAGCCUUUCCUUAAAUGUUCAAGGGCGCCGGAGGAAUAAAUUUGGAGUCAUGCAGAUCUUGUUUCACGAGUGUGUACAUGUGUAUGAAACUUUAUGUGGGUGGAAAACCAACAAGAGAAAAAAGAGAGCAGAAACUGUUGUGUGAUUGCGUUUUCCUGCCCGAGACAUCCUGUGCUCUGCAUCUGAUAACCUGCCACCAACAGGGCUCCACCACAUUGCCCAGGCUGGUCUCAAAGUCCUAGGCUCAUGCGAUCCUCCCACCUCAACCUCCCAAAGUGCUGGAACUACAGGUGUCAGCCACAGCCCCCUGUGAGGAUGCUUAAUCACUCGAGGACGGUAUAAAGGUACAGAAGAACAGCGAGCCACAGACGUUUCCAAAAUCUGGAGAGCGGCUGUGAGUUUGCAGUGCAGUAUGGGGAGAGACCAGAACCCACCGGAAGCCUCCAGGUGCUGCAGUGAGGAGGAGCUGGAACCCUUCUCCUCCAGGUGCCAGCUCGCGCUGCUGUGGUUCUCAUCUGUAGAGGACGUGGACCAUCCAGGGAAUCACCUGCAGCUGACAGAGGAAACUCUGAAGCCCACCAGGCCUGUACAGACUGGGGAAACACCAGUGCCUGAGGAUAGUGGCUAAACUGCCAGAGAACAUGGGGCUGAGGUGGAGCCUGGAUGACUCUUCUGCCUCUGAGCAAAGCUGCUUGCCCUACACACAACAGUAUUGUCUUAACAUCUGCUGAGUUCCCAGGUCCUCUUAGCAGCAGGCAGAGGCAUUCAGAGCCCAGACCCCAAAGACAUGCUGAUCUGGUUUAAACCUGACUGUGCUACUCAUCAACUGGGGGACCUAGGCAGGUUACAUUGUCUUUUUGUGCCUCAGUUUCCUCAUCUAUAGAAUAGAGGUAUUCUAGUUUCCUGUGAUUUCUGUAAUAAAUUUACAAACUUUGUAACAAAUUACCACAAAUUUGGUGGCUUCAAACGAUAGAAAUUUAUUCUCUCACAAACCUGGAGACCAAAAGUCUAAAGUCUCUAUCAUUGGACUGAAAUAAAAGUGCAGGUGGGGCCAGACACAGUGGCUCACACUUGUAAUCCCAGCACUUCGGGAGGCCAAGGCGGGCGGAUCAUGAGGUUAGGAGUUUGAGACAAGCCUGGCCAAUAUGGUGAAACCCCGUCUCUACUAAAAAUACAAAAUUAGCCAGGCGUGGUGGUGCAUGCCUGUAAUCCCAGCUACUUGGGAGGCUGAGGCAGGUGUAUCUCUUGAAACCAGGAGGCGGAGGUUGCGGUGAGCCAAAAUCAUGCCAUUGCAC
rnacentral:lncRNA from 10 species